rnacentral:lncRNA from 1 species
CCCAUUCUGACCUUCCACUGUGCAGAGAACAGACCUGCCAGAGAGCCUUGCUAUUUUUACUUCACUGCGAGGGGAUCUCAGGUUACAAAUUAUAUACGGAUGAGAAGCCUUCCCAUAACUCCUUUCCUUUAUGAUCUGUGAGCAAAGAGAUGCUUUGGAGUAGAUGAAGAUGGUGAUAAGAUACUAGAUACCAAAUACGUACAACUUACAGAAUCCUGGCAGCAUCCAACAUGUUUCAGCAAACCAGAUCCUGCAUAAAGGCCAGGCAGGAGAUUAGUGUGAAGCCUAAUCUUCAACCUCUAAGGCUUCAGGCUAUGUCAGCAUUCACUCCAGGAAGACAUGUCCCUGCCUAUCAAAGAGCACUGGCAUUUGUUUAAUCCUUGUACUUUCUCAGUGCAUUGCCAGAUUUGAGGAGCGAGUCAUUGUGGGUAGACCUGGUUUGGUUGGACAGGAGAAAUGAGCCCAUUUACUUCCCACCAAGAACAUGAAGAGGCUUCUGACCAGCAGAAAAAGCUGAGGAUUGGUGGCACUGAAUGAACACAUGUAAUGCCCCCGUCCUUGCUUUGAGAGCUUAUGCUCUCACUGUCUUGAAUAACGAGUACCUCGAGUAACCACAGAGUCUCAUCUAGACCCCUUUACCCCAUGCCUGAUGCAGUCCCCUUUUUUUCUGUCCAGUCCAAAGGAGCUCAGUGGGGCCCUGAACCCUAACUCUUAUGGAAUACAUUUGAUAUUUGAGAAUCAAUGAAUAAGGGCUACAGUAAGAUUCAAUCCUGGCCAAUAAAUUACCAACUGAAGAUACAGGA